rnacentral:rRNA from 1 species
UACAGAGGAGCCAAGCGUUGUCCGGAUUGACUGGGCGUAAAGCGCACGCAGGCGGACGCGCGCGUGGGGUGUGAAAUCUGGCCGCUUAACGGCCAGGCGCCAUCCCAUACGGCGCGACUGGAGUGAUGCAGAGGUCGAUGGAAUUGCCGGUGUAGUGGUGAAAUGCGUAGAGAUCGGCAGGAACACCCAGGGGGAAACCAGUCGGCUGGGCAUCUACUGACGCUGAGGUGCGAGAGCGUGGGGAGCGAACCGG